rnacentral:lncRNA from 1 species
GAUUAGUUGUGGACUGUUUUGAAUAAUGUGAUAAAAUCUUAUAUAACUUUGCUGCCAUAGCUGGAGUAAAUAUUCCAUGAUAUUGGUUUAUAUCAUAGUUUCUGGAGACAGGGCUUCUCUGUGUACCCCUGGUUGCCCUGAUACUCAGUAUUUAUACCAGGCUGGCUUUGAACUUGGAGAUCAGCCUGCCUCUGGUUCUCAAGUGCUAGAAUUAAAGGUGUGAACCACCAACACCAAAUAAUGCAAUCAACUUUAACUGCACUAAUGACAAAUACAUAAGUUUAAAGGAGUAAACAUUUUCCAGUAAAUAUUAGUCAGUGUAACCUGAACUGCUAUGUAACCCUAAAAAUACUCAGAUAAGAGAAAUGACAUCACGCUCACUGCUCGCAGCAUUUGUCCCUUUCACUGAACCUUCACGGUACUGGGUAUGAGAACUGGGAGCAACUAUGACACGGUCCCCCACACUAAAAAUAUUUAGGGGAUCAUUUCCUGAACUUAACAUUUUUGCUUCAAAAGUCACUUGUUUCUUGAAACUCACUAGAACUUUGAAGAGCAGCAUAUUCAUUCUGAUAUGUUUUUUGUGUUUUUUGCUUUUGUUUUUUCAAGACAGGGUGUCUCUGUGUAGCCCUGGCUGUCCUGGAAUUCACUCUGUAGACCAAGCUGGCCUCGAACUCAGAAAUCUACCUGUCUCUGGCCCCAAGUGCUGGGAUUAAAGUCAUGUGACACCACUGCCUGGCUUCAUUCUGAUAUAUUAAAGCAAGGAAAAGGAGAUGGUAGGAAAGAAAAAUGUGCGUAUUGUUUCUAAGACAUGCUCUGAAAUUUUGCUGCAUUCAGACCUUCUUAUACACACACACAGAAAUAUUCACCAACAGCAGCAACAGCCUACACACACAUGCUUGCACAAUUGCACGCACACACACACACACACACACACACAUUACUUUAAUAGACUCACAGGUGAACACAUUACACAGUUCCAUCAACAUAGCCACUCAAAAACUUGCCAAGUCCCAAACCCUCGUACCUAGCUAACUUUUACACAGAAUAGCCAUUCUGAAGCCAUGAAGCUUUGCUGAUGGUUUAGCCUUUCAUUGUCAGUCACAUUUUUAUACACUUCUCUGCCACACACACAAAAAAAUUGUGGUAGAGUUGAAACUACAAGCACAAUUCUGCUUUUAAACUUUUCACAACUGACAGCCUGUUACUUACAUUCUGCCCUUCCUCAUCACUUUAUGUUACUCUUCCUUCUUCUCCUAUGUACAUGGUAUUCCAUGCCCACACACACAUCUGCUCACAUUGUACACAAUAGGCUGGGGCUGCAUGUGAGGGAGUACAAUGGGCUUGUUUUCUUUGAACUUGGGUGCCCUUCCUUAAUAUUAUACUUUCUAAGUCCCACCACUUUGGAACAAAUUUCAUUUACAGCUAAAAAAUUCUGGUCUGGACCUGUAAGAUAUUUACAUUGUCUGUUAUUUAGGUCCAUUUACAUGCUAUUAUAGACACUGAGGCAAUAAACAAGGAUGUGCAAGUAUCUCUGUGGUAGGAUGUUGAGUUCUCUUCAUAUAUUCCCGGGAUGGCAUAGUUGGGUCACAUGGCAGGUCUAUUUUUAAGUUUUCUGAGGACCCUCCAAAUGGGCUAUAUCAGCUUGUACUCCUACCAGCAGUAAAUAAGUGUUCCCGAGUCUGCACGUGCUCCUAAGCAAGCUGAGUUUUGCCUACCUAUGCCUCCCAAUUGCUAGGGUUAAAGGCAUAUAUAUACCACCACUCCCCAGCAUGGUUGUCAGAUUUUUUUUUUUUUUUCAAGACAGGGUUUCUCUGUAUAGUCCUGGCUGUCCUGGAACUUACUCUGUAAACCAGGCUGGCCUCAAACUCAGAAAUACCACCUGCCUCUGCCUCCCGAGUGCUGGGAUUAAAGGCAUGUGCUGUCAGAUUUCUUAAGGAUAGCCAACCUGAGUAGAUAUAACAAGAGCCAGUGUGUGUGUGUGUGUGUGUGUGUGUGUGUGUGUGUGUGUGUGUGUGUGUGUAUGUGUGUGUGAUAGAAUUAUAGAAAGUUUAUGAUCAAAAUUUUGGAUUCAAAAACCAGUUGACCCUGCCAUGUUUUGCACGCUGGAAUUUCCUAAUAGUAAAAUCCAGGCAAGUGAGGAGUUUCCUUUCUUUUGUUAGAGAAAAAGAGGAUGUGAAGGAAGAUUAUGGGAAAGGAAGGUAUGUGAUUCUAGGAAUCCAGGACAGUCCUAAGGAGUUGAUGGCCUAGAAAUGAGUUCCUCGCAGGUUAUGGUCACUUUGGUCCUAGCACUCAGAAAGCACAUCCAAGUGGAUUACUGCAGCUCCAGAUAAGUUCAGUCUACACAGUGAGAUAAAGGCCAGGCAGUGGGACACAGCUAGAUUCUGUCUCAAAACACAAAAUACAAAGG